rnacentral:rRNA from 1 species
GAUGAACGCUAGCGGCAGGCCUAACACAUGCAAGUCGAGGGGUAGAGGAAGCUUGCUUCCUUGAGACCGGCGCACGGGUGCGUAACGCGUAUGCAAUCUACCUUAUACAAAGGGAUAGCCCAGAGAAAUUUGGAUUAAUACCUUAUAGUAUUAUGAAAUCGCAUGGUUUUAUAAUUAAAGUUCCAACGGUAUAAGAUGAGCAUGCGUCCCAUUAGUUAGUUGGUAAGGUAACGGCUUACCAAGACAAUGAUGGGUAGGGGUCCUGAGAGGGAGAUCCCCCACACUGGUACUGAGACACGGACCAGACUCCUACGGGAGGCAGCAGUGAGGAAUAUUGGUCAAUGGACGCAAGUCUGAACCAGCCAUGCCGCGCAGGAUGACGGUCCUAUGGAUUGUAAACUGCUUUUAUACAGGAAGAAACACUCCCUCGUGAGGGAGCUUGACGGUACUGUAGGAAUAAGGAUCGGCUAACUCCGUGCCAGCAGCCGCAGUAACAC